rnacentral:rRNA from 1 species
AACUAACGCUGGCGGCAGGCUUAACACAUGCAAGUCGAACGCCCCGCAAGGGGAGUGGCAGACGGGUGAGUAACGCGUGGGAAUCUACCCAGCUCUACGGAACAACCCAGGGAAACUUGGGCUAAUACCGUAUACGUCCGAUAGGAGAAAGAUUUAUCGGAGUUGGAUGAGCCCGCGUUGGAUUAGCUAGUUGGUGAGGUAACGGCUCACCAAGGCUCCGAUCCAUAGCUGGUCUGAGAGGAUGAUCAGCCACACUGGGACUGAGACACGGCCCAGACUCCUACGGGAGGCAGCAGUGGGGAAUAUUGGACAAUGGGCGAAAGCCUGAUCCAGCCAUGCCGCGUGAGUGAUGAAGGCCUUAGGGUUGUAAAGCUCUUUCAGUGGGGAAGAUAAUGACGGUACCCACAGAAGAAGCCCCGGCUAACUUCGUGCCAGCCGCCGCCGUAAGAC